rnacentral:rRNA from 1 species
UACGGGGGGGGUAAGCGUUGUUCGGAAUUACUGGGCGUAAAGGGCUCGUAGGCGGCCAACUAAGUCGGACGUGAAAUCCCUCAGCUUAACUGGGGAACUGCGUCCGAUACUGGAUGGCUUGGAUUUGGGAGAGGGAUGCGGAAUUCCAGGUGUAGCGGUGAAAUGCGUAGAUAUCUGGAGGAACACCAGAGGCGAAGGCGGCGACCUGGACAGAUACUGACACUCAACUCCGAAAGCGUGGGGAGCAAACAGG